AACAAGCAAACUGUGGAUUUCCGUGUUAACGUUUAAUUGUCCGUCUCAUAUAAAUUUUUUUAUAAUUAGUAUUUUCAUUAUUGUUAGAUGAUAAAACAUGAUUAAUAUUUUAUGCGUGACUUAUCUUUUUAAUUUUUUAUAACUUUUUCAAAUAAGACGAACAGUCAAACAUUGAAAACGGAAAUCAAGGUUUGUCUCUUU
rfam:Oryza sativa (indica cultivar-group) chromosome 2, whole genome shotgun sequence.